AGUCUCUGAUGAUGCUUUGCACUGGGCUCAGAUAAUCUGUGGCGAUAAACGUGCAGCUCUGCUCCUGACAUGGCAGAGUCUGAAGAGACC